GCUCGCGCCUCUCCCUCCACACCUCCCUGCAAGCUGAGGGAGUGGGCUCUGGCCUUGGCCAGCCCAGAAAGGGGCUCCCACAGUGCAGCCGUGGGCUGAAGGGCUUCUCAAGUGCCGCCAAAGUGGGAGCCCAGGCAGAGGAGUCGCCGAGAGCGAGCGCGGGCUGUGAGGACUGCCAGCACGCUGUCACCUCUCAAUAAGGCCCAUCCCAACGUUUCCUGAGGAAUAAUUUUGGUCGUGUUCCUGCUACUCAGCUUUUCGUGGUUCCUGCUCAUUUUCAGAGUCUAACAUUCCAGCUUUUCCGGAAAUUCUAAGUCUGCAGUGGGGAGAAGUGGUGAGGUGGUCACACACAUUCUGGUCCAUGUCCCUACCAAGUUUCUACUCUUCUUCCCACAAGGCUGCCUCUGACUUGAGGGUUCAAGAGAAGAAGAGGAAAGAGAUACUUUGAUGUAAAAGUUUUCAAAGAAAUGCUUUGGGCAGAAGAGACUCAUGGAAACUGGACACUAUAUCUGGAGCCAGGAAUAAUAGGAUCCAAGAAACAGUAACAAGUAUAAAACAAAGUGGUCUUGAACUCCUGGCCUCAAGUAAUCUUCCCCACUGGGCUUCCCAAAGUGCUGGGACUACAGAG
rnacentral:antisense_RNA from 1 species